GUGCUUGCUUCAGCAGCACAUACACUAAAAUUGGAACGAUACAAGAUUAGCAUGGCCCCUGCACAUGGAUGACACUCAAAUUUGUGAAGCAUUCCAUAUUAAA
ensembl:snRNA U6 U6 spliceosomal RNA